rnacentral:rRNA from 1 species
UACAGAGGUCUCAAGCGUUGUUCGGAUUCAUUGGGCGUAAAGGGUGCGUAGGCUGCGGGGUAAGUCUGAUGUGAAAUCCCGGGGCUCAACCCCGGAACUGCAUUGGAUACUGCCUUGCUAGAGCACUGGAGAGGAGACUGGAAUUUACGGUGUAGCAGUGAAAUGCGUAGAGAUCGUAAGGAAGACCAGUGGCGAAGGCGAGUCUCUGGACAGUUGCUGACGCUGAGGCACGAAGGCCAGGGGAGCAAACGGG